CAUUUUCACCUGAAAAAAGAAAUGAGAGAGAGAGAGAGCGAUGAUGGUGACUUGGCUUCGAUCUUCACCAGCAACCUAUGGAGCUCUGGUGAUGGUGGUUCGAUGGUCGUCGAAGCUUCCGGUCUCUCAUGCGUCUUUGAUCUGAUUCUUCUUCUGAUAAUCCCUUCGUAUUUCAUCUGCAGAAGAGGAGCUUCACCGACAACUCAUAUGAACUUUGUCGACUGUUUCUUCUCCAACAACCUCCGAUGAAGAUUGCACCUUAGACGCCGAUCUCCAAGAUCAGGAAAUCAUUGCUCAAGCUGAUAGAGAAGAUCAUAGAACUCAAAAACCUUGAAGAUGCAUAUGGUUCCAAACUCAACUUACGAAUAUAUUUUUGCUGCAAUUCUUCAGUUCUAUUUAGGACCAGACAAGCAUACGUUAGUUUGAAUGAAGUUACAUGCUAAGAAGAAUUGAUAAUGUUGUGACUUGUUUUUGGAGGGAAUGAAGUUGUAUCGUGUUCCGUGGGCCGGCUCGCAAAAGCUCAUGUUAAUUACAGGGCGGGAUUGGUCAUGCCCUAACGAGACUGCGGUACCAAACAGGACAACGCACAGAGACCCGCUGGAACUGAAGACCGCUGCGGAACGGAAGACGGGCAAACCUGCGUGCCAUCUCUAGGUUGAAGGUAUUAGAAAUGGGUCGGCUAUUGUUGAAACUGAACAUCUAAUGUCAUCAGUUAUAUUUGCCUUUGCUGUUUUCUGGUAUAGAAAAACCACUAAUUUUUAUUAUUGUUUUGUUAUAUUC